rnacentral:rRNA from 1 species
CCUACGGGAGACAGCAGUGAGGAAUAUUGGUCAAUGUCCGGGAGGCUGAACCAGCCAAGUCGCGUGAGGGAAGACGGCCCUACGGGUUGUACACCUCUUUUGUCCGGGCGCAAGGUGCAGGUCGGGACCUGCUGUGAGAGUACCUGAAGCACACGCAUCGGCUCACUACGUGCCAGCAGCCGCUGUAAUACGGGUGAUGCGAGCGUUAUCCGGAUUUAUUGGGUUGAAAGGGUUCGCAGGCGUAGGCACAAGUCAGCGGGAACAUCGCGGGGCUCAACCCCGCUCCGCCGUUGAAACUGUGUCCCUUGAGUGCGCGAAGGGUAGGCGGAAUGCGUGGUGUAGGGGUGAAAUGCAGAGAUAGCACGCAGAACUCCGAUCGCGAAGGCAGCCUACCGGCGCGCAACUGACGCUCAUGCACGAAAGCGUGGGUAUCGAACAGGAUUAGAUACCCGGGUAGUC